GACGAACGCUGGCGGCAGGCCUAACACAUGCAAGUCGAGCGGAGCGGCGGACGGGUGAGUAAUGCCUAGGAAUCUGCCUGGUAGUGGGGGAUAACGUCAGGAAACGGGCGAUAAUACCGCAUACUAUCAGAUGAGCCUAGGUCGGAUUAGCUAGUGGGUGGGGUAAAGGCCUACAAAGGCGAAGUUCCGUAACUGGUCUGGGAGGAUGAUCAGUCAACCUGGAACUGAGACACGGUCCAGACUUCGACGGGAGGCAGCAGUGGGGAAUAUUGGACAAUGGGCGAAAGCCUGAUCCAGCCAUGCCGCGUGUGUGAAGAAGGUCUUCGGAUUGUAAAGCACUUUAAGUUGGGAGGCGUUACCAACAGAAUAAGCACCGGCUAACUUCGUGCCAGCAGCCGCGGUAAUUC
rnacentral:rRNA from 1 species